GCGGUAGUCAUAUAACGGUAUUAUGCACGCUUCCCAAGCCUGACAAGCGGGUUCGACUCCCGUAUACCGCU
rnacentral:tRNA from 1 species